UACAGAGGUCCCAAGCGUUGUUCGGAUUCACUGGGCGUAAAGGGUGCGUAGGUGGUGAGGUAAGUCGGAUGUGAAAUCUCGGAGCUCAACUCCGAAACUGCAUUGGAAACUACCUCGCUAGAGGGUUGGAGGGGGGACUGGAAUACUUGGUGUAGCAGUGAAAUGCGUAGAUAUCAGGAGGAACACCGGUGGCGAAGGCGGCCCUCUGGACGGUGACUGACGCUGAGACGCGAAAGCGUGGGGAGCAAACAGG
rnacentral:rRNA from 1 species